AUUGAACGCUGGCGGCAUGCUUUACACAUGCAAGUCGAACGGUAACAGGUUAAGCUGACGAGUGGCGAACGGGUGAGUAAUGCAUCGGAACGUGCCCGGUCGUGGGGGAUAACACUUCGAAAGAAGUGCUAAUACCGCAUACGAUCUAAGGAUGAAAGCGGGGGACCGUAAGGCCUCGCGCGAUUGGAGCGGCCGAUGUCAGAUUAGGUAGUUGGUGGGGUAAAGGCUCACCAAGCCGACGAUCUGUAGCUGGUCUGAGAGGACGACCAGCCACACGGGGACUGAGACACGGCCCAGACUCCUACGGGAGGCAGCAGUGGGGAAUUUUGGACAAUGGGCGCAAGCCUGAUCCAGCAAUGCCGCGUGCAGGAAGAAGGCCUUCGGGUUGUAAACUGCUUUUGUACGGAGCGAAAAGGCUCUCUCUAAUACAGGGGGCUGAUGACGGUACCGUAAGAAUAAGCACCGGCUAACUACGUGCCAGCAGCCGCCGUAA
rnacentral:rRNA from 1 species